ensembl:lncRNA
CUUUGUUCGCUGCUGGCUCUGCUUUGACUCCAUCUGCAAAUGGAAAGGUUUAAAAUCUUCCUUUGGACAGUGGCAGUGAGUCUACAAGUAACAUCUCAAGACAGCACUGGUGAACCUCCUAUUCAGAUUUCCAAGCCAAAUAUAAUUCUGAAUGCAUCUCAUGCUGUGCUGUACAGCACAGAGACAGUCACUCUGCACUGUGAGGUCCCUGAUGAACCACCAGGGUUACAAUAUGACUGGUACAAGGACUCAGCUGAUCUUAGUGAACAUCAGCCCAACAUCACUCCGAGAGGCAGUGGAAAAUAUGAAUGCAAAGCAAAAAAAGGAGCUUCUGAGUCAGAAAAAAGUACUAGUUAUACUUUAACUCUAAAA